AGGAUGAACGUUGGCGGCGUGCCUAACACAUGCAAGUCGAACGAUUCCCUUCGGGGAUAGUGGCGCACGGGUGAGUAACACGUAGCUUACCUCCCUCUCAGCGCGGGAUAACGACUCGAAAGAGUUGCUAAUACCGCAUAAGCUCACGGGUUACAGAGACUUGUGAGAAAAGGUGCAAAUCACUGAGAGACGGGGCUGCGGCCCAUCAGCUAGUUGGUGAGGUAAAGGCUUACCAAGGCGACGACGGGUAGGGGGACCUGAGCGGGGUCACCCGGCAACGGCGGGACCAGUAAGGCACGGCCAGACUCACGG
rnacentral:rRNA from 1 species